AACCAAUUUAUAUUCCCAUCAAUAGUGUACAAGGGUUCCCUUUUCUCCACAUCUUUGCCAACACAUGUUAUCUCCUGAUCUCUUAAUGAAAGCCAAUCUAACAGGUGUGAGGUGAUAGCUCAUUGUGGUUGUCAUUUGCAUUUCCCUGAUGAAGAGCAAUGCUGACCACCUUUUCAUGUACCUGUUGACCACUUGGAUGUCCUUCUCCAGCAGCUCCAGAGUUUUCACCUGCAAAUGUGUUCUAAGUGCUUAACAUAUAUCAACUCAUUUAAUUUUCAUCACAAUUCUAUGAGGAAGAUACUCUCAAUAAUCCUACUUUGCAGAUGAGGAAACUGAGAAGGCCAUGGCAGAGACCCUCAACUGUGACCAGCCAAGUCAAAAACUUUCUCAUGAGCCUGGGACUGAACAUCCACAGGGUAGUCUAAGAUGUGACUAAGUCAAGUACAAUGGCCAUUUGCAGUAAUUCCUGAGAAAUAGCUCACCAGAAUCUAGAGCAAAAAAAGGAACCUCACCCCACAAGUAAGAAACCCCAGAACCUGAACAAGAAUUUGGAAAUCAAAUCUCUAAGGCAAAUCAACUUGGGCAGAAUCCACGAUCAACUCUUUCUGAUUCAGAAGAGAUGACUUGGGCUGGCUCCGUGGCCGAGCAGUUAAGUUUGCGCGCUCCACUUCGGCAGCCCAAGGUUUCACCGGUUCGAAUCCUGGGCGCAGACAUGGCACAGCUCAUGAGGCCAUGCUGAGGAGGCAUCCCACAUGCCACAACUAGAACCCACAACUAAAAAUACACAGCUAUGCACCGGGGGGCUUUGGGGAGAAAAAGGG
rnacentral:lncRNA from 1 species